rnacentral:rRNA from 1 species
AACGAACGCUGGCGGCAUGCCGAACACAUGCAAGUCGAACGAAGGCUUCGGCCUCAGUGGCGCACGGGUGCGUAACGCGUGGGAAUCUGCCCUCUGGAACGGAAUAACGCAGGGAAACUUGAGCUAAUACCGAAUAAUGACUUCGGUCCAAAGAUUUAUCGCCUGAGGAUGAGCCAGCGUAGGAUUAGCUUGUUGGUGAGGUAAAGGCUCACCAAGGCGACGAUCCUUAGCUGGUCUGAGAGGAUGAUCAGCCACACUGGGACUGAGACACGGCCCAGACUCCUACGGGAGGCAGCAGUGGGGAAUAUUGGACAAUGGGCGAAAGCCUGAUCCAGCAAUGCCGCGUGAGUGAUGAAGGCCUUAGGGUUGUAAAGCUCUUUUACCCGGGAUGAUAAUGACAGUACCGGGAGAAUAAGCCCCGGCUAACUCCGUGCCAGCCGCCGCAGUAAGAC